GUACUCUGAUCGCUCUUCAGUUGUCGUAUAAAUCUUUCGUCUUUUACUAAAGAUUUCCGUAGAGAGACAUACUCUAAUGAGUCUAAACUGAUUUUUUGUCAUUUUAUAUUGAUG
rnacentral:snRNA from 1 species